CGUAAGGGCUCGCAGGCGGUUUCUUAAGUCUGAUGUGAAAGCCCCCGGCUCAACCGGGGAGGGUCAUUGGAAACUGGGGAACUUGAGUGCAGAAUAGGAGAGUGGAAUUCCACGUGUAGCGGUGAAAUGCGUAGAGAUGUGGAGGAACACCAGUGGCGAAGGCGACUCUCUGGUCUGUAACUGACGCUGAGGAGCGAAAGCGUGGGGAGCGAACAGGAUUAGAUACCCUGGUAGUCCACGCCGUAAACGAUGAGUGCUAAGUGUUAGGGGGUUUCCGCCCCUUAGUGCUGCAGCUAACGCAUUAAGCACUCCGCCUGGGGAGUACGGUCGCAAGACUGAAACUCAAAGGAAUUGACGGGGGCCCGCACAAGCGGUGGAGCAUGUGGUUUAAUUCGAAGCAACGCGAAGAACCUUACCAGGUCUUGACAUCCUCUGACAAUCCUAGAGAUAGGACGUCCCCUUCGGGGGCAGAGUGACAGGUGGUGCAUGGUUGUCGUCAGCUCGUGUCGUGAGAUGUUGGGUUAAGUCCCGCAACGAGCGCAACCCUUGAUCUUAGUUGCCAGCAUUCAGUUGGGCACUCUAAGGUGACUGCCGGUGACAAACCGGAGGAAGGUGGGGAUGACGUCAAAUCAUCAUGCCCCUUAUGACCUGGGCUACACACGUGCUACAAUGGGCAGAACAAAGGGCAGCGAAACCGCGAGGUUAAGCCAAUCCCACAAAUCUGUUCUCAGUUCGGAUCGCAGUCUGCAACUCGACUGCGUGAAGCUGGAAUCGCUAGUAAUCGCGGAUCACAUGCCGGGGGAAAAACCUUUCCCGGGCCUUUGUACACACCGCCCGUCACACCACGAAGAGUUUGUAACACCCGAAGUCGGUGAGGUAACCUUUAUGGAGCCAGCCGCCGAAGGUGGGACAGAUGAUUGGGGUG
rnacentral:rRNA from 1 species